UACGUAGGUGGCAAGCGUUGUCCGGAAUUAUUGGGCGUAAAGCGCGCGCAGGCGGUCCUUUAAGUCUGAUGUGAAAGCCCACGGCUCAACCGUGGAGGGUCAUUGGAAACUGGAGGACUUGAGUGCAGAAGAGGAAAGUGGAAUUCCAAGUGUAGCGGUGAAAUGCGUAGAGAUUUGGAGGAACACCAGUGGCGAAGGCGACUUUCUGGUCUGUAACUGACGCUGAGGCGCGAAAGCGUGGGGAGCAAACAGG
rnacentral:rRNA from 1 species